rnacentral:tRNA from 1 species
UGGGGCCAUAGCUCAGCUGGCAGAGCGCCGGUUUUGCAUACCGGAGGUCAGGGGUUCGACUCCCCUUGGCUCCACCCA